AGAUCCUCGUCUUCUCUGCUCUUUUUAUAAUGAACUGCAAUCUCUGCUAGCUACUUUGAUUGGUGAAUGGCACCUGCAAAUAAAUUCACUGACCAAUGACAAUAGCGAUUUAUUAAUAAGAACUGAAAAGCUAUCAGCUAUAUUUUUAAGGGCCUGCUGGCUUCCCGACCCAUUACGGUAUCUUUAUGAACUUUUCUCGAAUCUUCCAGCCAAUGAAGUAGAGUUUUGUUUAUUGAUCAUAUGGAGAUUCCUAUGUGACUUUCCUCCAAUCCCAUCCCAAUUUGUUUAUUUGAAUGGGGCAUACAAGCGUUCCUUUGAUAAUUUGAAUAUGUCAUCUUAUCUUUCUGAUAUAAAAAGCUUGUUUCUAAGGAAUAUAGAAUCGCUCGGACACUUGUACUAUCGCUUUUAUUAUAAACAUUGCGGAAAGAAUGGGUAGUGAUAAAGAAAUGGAAU